AAGGCGCCGACCCGUUUCCUUCUAGUGACACGAUCACACGAUUCAACAUCUAUUCCACUUUUCAGCAACUUCAAGGCGUCGCACUGACGCCCUUCGACUUGUCUCGGUAGCAGGAAGCGAAGCCCAGUCGUCCCUACUCCAAACGACCGGCGACGGGUUAUCCGAUUUCGGCCACGUUACGGCGUCUCACCAGUGUCGGCAGCUUCUUCUCGGAUUCAGCAAUCUCCCUCUGGUAGUUUCUCGAAAAGCUAAGAGAGAAAGGAGAAUCAAAGCCCGGAAGCUUCGGUUCCUUUGGCAGUUUCAACGUAUUUUCCCGCGGCUUCGGCCAUGAAAGGCCGCGAUUAAAGCAAGUUCUCCUUUUCCGGUAGCUCCAGCCGAUGUCGACGAUGAAAAUGGCAUCAGACUUGAUCCUCUUAUCGAGCUGUACAUGAUUGUGUCCUUAAUUCUCAGGUUUGGUUAAGUUGAAAAAAUUGGAGUUUUGGGUUUUAAAAUUGUUACGGUUUACAAUUUGAGCGGUGAUUUUAAUGAUCUUUGAUCAAGUUUCCGACCACAUAGAAAGCUCAGAGCAUGAAUUUGGCUGUUAUUUAUGCUUGAUUUGUAAAAAUAUGAGAAUUUGGGGGAUUGGAAAGUUAAACAGGA